AUGUGGAUCCCAGUGGCCGGGCUUCCUCCUUGGCUGAGGCUCUUCGCCUUGGCGGGCACUGGUCGCUUUUGCAUUUGAGGGUCUGGAGCGGCGACACGAAAGCACUUGCCGGCGAGGAACCACCGUGGCCUGUCUGACUCCUCUCCGCAGCUGUGGCCCAAUCCGGAUUUCAGGAACACGCCGAGGAAGAUGUCUAAGUCCAGCUUAGACUUUAAGCGUUACGUAACCAAUCGGAGAUUGGCUGAGACCCUGGCGCUGCCCGCUGUGGGCAGCAACAAAUGUCGCCAAUCGUAUGGAGAAAACAAAAUAGGCCUCCACACCUAUUGCUGCAGCGCAAUCCGGGUCCUGGAAUCCUGACUCAGGCAUUACUUGAAGUUGAUGCCAAAGUGGUUGCCCUUGAAAGUGACAAAACUUUUAUUGCACAUUUGGAGUCCUUAGGAAAAAAUCUGGAUGGAAAACUACAAGUGAGUCACUGUGACUUCUUUAAAAUAGAUCCUAGAAGUGGUGGAGUAAUAAAACCACCUGCUAUGGCUUCUCAAGGGCUGUUUCAGAAUUUGGGAAUAGAAGCAGUUCCUUGGACAGCAGGCAUCCCUCUAAAAGUAACUGGAAUGUUCCCAAGUAGAGGUGAAGAAAGGGCACUUUGGAAACCUGCAUAUGACUUGUAUUCCUGUGCUUCUAUUUGGACGAAUAGAACGAAAUAUCUUUAUUGGUGAAAAAGAAUUCCAGAAACUAACGGCAGAUCCCCGAAAUCCAGACUUGUAUCAUGUAUGAAGUGUUAUCUGGUACGCAGCUUGUGAGAUUAAGGUUCUGCACAUGGAGCCUUGGUCAUCGUUUGAUGUGUACACCUGAAAUGGGCAGCUGGAAAACCCAAGCAUAGGGAAUUAUUAGAACUAUUACAACACAAUCUGUAUCUUAUUCAAAUGACUCCUUAUGGAAAUUUAUUUACCAAGAACUGAACACUUAUUCACUAUAAUAUAUUUUUCACAUGUUAAAGCACUGUUUUGUGAGGCGCAGUGCCAAUCUAAUAGACCACUUACGUUCACUGACUCCACUUGAUGCAAUGGAUAUAUUGAUGCAAAUAGGAAAAAAGGAAGAAGAGAAAAUAACUAACGUGUACCCUCAAGACUUCAAAAAACUUUUUGAAACUAUACAGUGUUCCAAAGAUUGUGCUUAUAAAUGGCUAUAUGAUGAAACCCUGGAAGAUAUGUAGCACCUAGACUGUUGUUUUUGGUGGAGCAGUUUAUUUGUUUUGAAACUAUGACAUGAAAACCAAAUUUGAAAGCUCACAUCCUUUCAGCAGAAGAUAACUGUUCUUGUUUUGCACAUGCCAGGCAGAUCAUUUAGUUGAUAUCAUUGGCAUAUUGGAUGAAAUAGUGGCUGCUAUUUUAUUCACACUUGAAUAAAAUGAAAACUUCAAUUAA